AUCGCUUCUCGGCCUUUUGGCUAAGAUCAAGUGUAGAAAAAAAAUAAUCCCUGAUCACUGGCAAUGAUGGCUGUGUCUGAUGGAAGUUUUAAUCCAACAACAUUUGGGAGCAUCAAAUUGGAUACCCUUGCACCAAUGGGUUUUGAGCUAGAUGUGUU